CCUACGGGAGGCUGCAGUGGGGAAUAUUGGGCAAUGGGCGCAAGCCUGACCCAGCAACGCCGCGUGAAGGAAGAAGGCUUUCGGGUUGUAAACUUCUUUUCUCAGGGACGAAGUAAGUGACGGUACCUGAGGAAUAAGCCACGGCUAACUACGUGCCAGAAGCCGCGGUAAUACGUAGGUGGCAAGCGUUAUCCGGAUUUACUGGGUGUAAAGGGCGUGUAGGCGGGACUGCAAGUCAGAUGUGAAAACGACGGGCUCAAACUGUGGCCUGCAUUUGAAACUGUAGUUCUUGAGUACUGGAGAGGCAGACGGAAUACCUAGUGUAGCGGUGAAAUGCGUAGAUAUGAGGAGGAACACCAGUGGCGAAGGCGGUCUGCUGGACAGCAACUGACGCUGAGGCGCGAGAGCGUGGGGAGCAAACAGGAUUAGAUACCCUUGUAGUC
rnacentral:rRNA from 1 species